ensembl:lncRNA
GAUGUUCCUAAGGAAUAUUGCAGCGCCCGUUGAGUACACUAUCGGACUGUGGAAAAUGUGUGCUUUCUGUGACUGUAAGGUGCAGAUGUACACGUCCGUGGGAAAGUAGGUUUCCAGUUUCCUGAUACUGUGCGUUGCACUUGCGAGCGGCUGUGGCCUGGGGUAAGCUUUAGCUUUCCUGCGUGUUUCUAGCAUCAUGGUCUUGUUGCUGUGCCUUACCCGUGGACCAUGAUGGAGCAAAGGAGAGCCUUAACUAUUCCAUUUACAGUGGACAAGGAUAAACUGGUUUCCUGGACUGCGUUUGCAGAUUGCAAAUUCAGACAUCGCAAGUCGCCACAUAAAAACGGAUCCACAAAGUUUGAUCACAGCAAUGCAGCUAUGAUGGCACUGGAAAUGGAAA